UAGAAUGAUUGUAUCGAGGAAUUUCGAGUGGUCCAGCGAUCAAGCGUGUAUUUUUCCAAUGCAUGUAAUCAUUUACAAACGUAAACAAAAUAAGCAUAUGGUACUUACAGAGUGUCAUCCGUUACCCCGUAGUCCUUUUUCAUUCCAAUGUUAUUGAUUUCCAUUCACAAAUCUUAAAUCAUAAAUGACUUCUUUGAAAGUUGUAACUUCCGGUGAUGUCGUUUCGGUCAACUUGUACAAUGUACGAAGCUUGUCGUGUUUUUUUCUUCUCCCCGUUCUAAUUCGAUAUAAGAUAUAUCAUGUAUAAAAUAUAUCAUAUGUAUAUAUAUGAAGUCUUAUACACUGGGUUUCCACUGGUCGAUUGUAUAACUUUUUACUGAUCGUCUUUUGGUUACGUGUUGACCUGGGGACGAGUCAGUCAGUGUACGACCUGACGUUCACGCAAGUGAUCAAAGCGCUUUUUUUUCAAUGUUCCUUUCUGGGCGCGAAGUCAGGGAAAUAUUCGCAAGGAUGGAGAACAUUCAACAGAAUCAGUAUGCAAUCAAGCAUGGAAUGGAUUCCAGAUAGGAAUAUAGGAUUCACCUUACACUCAGAAACUGGGGGAUAGGCCUAGUUGUUCAAAAUACACGGCGUUGCUGGUUAGUAUUUUUACUUUUGGUUUGUAAUAAUUCGUCUUUUUUGGUAGUCUAGUGGAAUUGUCACACCUUAACAAAUUAUCAUCCUGUUUCCAAUAUUUUUAUCUAGUACAUGUUCUCUUUCAUUGUAGCAUGGACUUGAAGAGAUAGUUAUGAAUUUAGAAUAUCAUAAAGUGACUUUUAAUAAGGCACUGUUUUCAGUGGAUGAACCGACAUCAUGCAGUGUGACAGGAAAACGCCCGUGAGACCAAAGAUGGCUUAGAUAAAAGGGAAGACGAUGCAGAAGCCUCUGUACCAGAGAAAAAUCCAGAGAUGGCCCUCAAAGAAGUUAGAAACAAGAUGAGAGACCGUCUCAAGUUGUUUAGGUCUGGAGCCACCUUCCCCCACCCACGAGUCGAAGAAAUAGAUCUUUGAACCACUCCAGGUUACCCGUGACAUCAAGAUAAACAAAAUUCAACUUCAGGGACAAUUUGAUAAUACCUGUUUAAAAUUUUUUUUUUAGCUCACCUGGGCCGAAGGUUCAAGUGAGCUUUUCUGAUCAAAAUUUGUUCGUUGUCUGUCGUCGGCGAAAACUUUUCACAUUUUCAUCUUCUCCAGAACCACUGGGUCAAUUUCAACCAAACUAAGUGACACAAAGCACCCUUGGGUGAAAGGCUUUCAAGUUUGUUCAAAUGAAGGGCCAUGCCCCUUCAAAGGGGAGAUAAUCGCAAAAAUACGGUGGGGUCAUUCAAAAAUCUUCUCAAGAACCACUGGGACAGAGAAGCUGAAAUUUACAUGAAAGCCUCCUGACAUAGUACAGAUUCAAGUUUGUUAAAACCAAUGACCUGGGGGGGGGGGGGGGGGGGGGGGGGGGUUGGAUUGGGUCUCAAUAGGGGAUCAAAGUUUUACUUACAAAUAUACAGGGAAAAUCUUUAUGAAAAUUGUCUUCUCAAGAAACACUUGGCCAGAAAAGCUGAGAUUUACAUGAAAGCUUCCCGACAUAGUGUAGACUCAAGUUUGUAAAAUUCACAGGGUUGUCACUAACGCAAGAAUAGGAUCACAGAAAUUUCAUUGGGGUUUGUCUGAUAUGGCGAGUCCCGCAGACGUGUCUCGGACUCUGAGUAAAAAUCAUAAUUUCACUUAGAAGGCCUGAUUUGUGUAUUAAUUAAAACUCAUAGGAAAAAAUCUAGGUAAAACGUUACGCUCUAAUGUGAACCGAGAUGAUACCACCGAGUUCACAGUGUCCCAAUCUGACUUGUUUGUUUAGUGCAGUCAAUUAGGUGCAAAUUAGAAUAUAAUAUUGAAAUUUAGAUACAAAGUAAAAAACAUUUUGCCACUCACAGGCAGUUAUUUAUAUAUGUUUCUUUUUUUUUUUUUUUUUACAAAUCAGGAUCUAUAUUUAAUUAUAAAUGUUUGUCUUCCGGUAGCCAUUUUUAUUGGAAUUGAAAGUAGCGUAGUUUGUAAACUUUGGUAGAUUUGACAUCAUUUUACAAACAAAAUUAGUACGCAUCUAUUUUAUCACAAUAAUUAUUUAAUUAAAAUUUUGUGUAAUACUGAAUAGGGUUGUAACGAUGAUAGAGGAUUCGGGGAAGUAAUUCUGUUUGCAAUGGGCAAUUAGUUGUAUGAGACCGAGUUGUGAAUGAUUACUUUUAAUUUCAUGUGUACAAAGUGAUCACUGCACUGUUAUGCAUGGGCUUGGCGAAAAUUAACUGAUUUUUGCCAUUUGUUGAAGAUGAAAGUGAACAGAGGUACGACAUUAGCUUGUGUUCACUCGGUAUAAAUAAAGGUGUAGGAAAAAUCUAAAUGACUCUUUAAUUCAACUUUCAUGGGACUCGUCAAAUUUUCAUGGGGACUCAAGCUGCUUACAAACCAUGAUACCGGGACUCGUCUUCAAUAUUUUCUAGUGACAACCUUGAAUCGUGGCCCCCAAGGGUAGGUUUUGGCCACAUUAUAGGGACAAAAGUUUUACAUACAAGUAUAUGGGAAAUCUUUAAAUAUGGACCAAGAUGACUAAGGUGAGCGAUGUGGCCCAUGGACCUCUUGUUUAAUUAUUUGUUUACGUAAGAAAUAGUGCUUUUUAGCUCACCCCAGCCAUAAUUUAAAUGAACUUUUCAAAGUACUUGCUUUGGAAGUUCAUAUAAGUAUUGCUGAAAUUUAUGUAUAUGUAUGUUAAAUAAAUUUUAUUAUCAGAUUAUCAUUUUGAUUCAUAAUUUCAUUCUUAAUUGCCACUUUUACAGAAAAGAUAUCACAUAUCCUGGAUCUCGAGUUUUAUUCCACAGUAGGGUAAGACCAAAACAGGUUAGUAGGAUAAAUUGGGACUUUCCAGGAGUCCUGCAUCAACUCAAAAAGCAGGAUUUUUAGGGAGAUCCAAUAAAAUCCUGCAAAAUCCCAGUCCUGUCUACUGGGACUUUCCAAGACAUGUCCAGAAUAAUCCCACUGUCUCCCCUUUCAGAUUGCAGGAUUAAGUGAGACUUUGCAGGACAAUAAAAGGCAAAUUUAAGUGUUCAAAUUAUCCUUAAAAGUCCUGAAAUGUCCCACUGCCAAUACCGUCCCUCUAAUUCCUUGUCAAUCUCAGUUUCAAAAAAGCAGGACUUUUCAGGACAAUCCUGAUAAAUCCUGGGAUUUUGUCUUGGGACUUCCUGGGAUAUCCUGCUGUAUUUUCAAUGGGGAAAUUAUCCUUAAAAGUCCUGAAAUGUCCCACUGCCAAUACCGUCCCUCUAAUUCCUUGUCAAUCUCAGUUUCAAAAAAGCAGGACUUUUCAGGACAAUCCUGAUAAAUCCUGGGAUUUUGUCUUGGGACUUCCUGGGAUAUCCUGCUGUAUUUUCAGAGGGGCGCUGAUCACAAUCAGAUCACUUGAAGGGUGGGGGGUUUCUUCCUUGGGGACGACAGGCGUGAUGGGUGGGUUGGCCUUACUCGUGGAGACUGGCCCCUGGAUGUGUGACCUUGACCUUUGACCUUGACCCACUUUCAAGGUCAAACCUCAAAAAUCCUGUUGUUGGGCAUGAAACCGGUCAAAAUAGUGUAUUAUAAACAGCUGAUCACAGACAGAUCACUUGAAGGGUGGGGGGUUUCUUCCUUGGGGACGACAGGCGUGAUGGGUGGGUUGGCCUUACUCGUGGAGACUGGCCCCUGGAUGCGUGACCUUGACCUUUGACCUUGACCCACUUUCAAGGUCAAACCUCAAAAAUCCUGUUGUUGGGCAUGAAACCGGUCAAAAUAGUGUAUUAUAAACAGCUGAUGACAGACAGAUCACUUGAAGGGUGGGGGGUUUCUUCCUUGGGGACGACAGGCGUGAUGGGUGGGUUGACCUUACUCGUGGAGACUGGCCCCUGGAUGCGUGACCUUGACCUUUGACCUUGACCCACUUUCAAGGUCAAACCUCAAAAACCCAUGGGGGAGAAAGUGUGACCUUGACCUUUGACCUUGACCUGAUUUUGAAGGUCAGAGAGGUCACGGGGCUUCGUUUAAGUGGUCCCGCAUCCCUAUCUACAUCCGUGAAGAAGUUGUGGGCUCGAACGACGACGUCGGAGACUUUCGGGGGCGAGAACCGUGCUUCGGGGUUCUCGGUUUCCCCCGGUCAACUUCUCUGUGCGAGAGUGUUUCAUCUGGAAUUCGUCGGCGAAGGUCUCGCCUCUCCACGACUUGCGGUCUAGUGGGAGUAGCGAUAACGGGGUUUUCGACGUUAAGUCGCCGCCUUUCGCAGAGCGGUCAAAGUUCAGAGUUGUAAUUCAGGAUUCCGAGAGCGGUCCAGAAUUCCAUGCUGACCCAUGUGAUAUUUCGAUGCUAUCUGAAGCGGGAAAGAGCGUAUAAAAAGUGCCAUUUUCUGGCCAUUCUGGAUGACCUUGACCUUUGACCUUGACCUACUUUUUCAAGGUCAAGGUCACCCAACCCGUCCCAGUGGGUUCCGUCUCUCUACGACGAAGACUUUAGGAGUCGUCAAUUUGUAGGGGACAAAUCGCAAAACAUGAGGGGGCAUUAACUCCCUUUAGGGGACACCGAAUCCCUUCAUUUGAAAUUCUUCGCUUCUACUCAUUGACCUCUAUGCUUCAGCAAAGGUUUCAUCCUCCUAUCCUUUACGGUUAAAAAGGAGUAGCGAUAACAAUGAUUUCUGCUAACAGGUCCGAUAACUCUGUAAGGGGUCAAAGUUCCAUGACGCAGGGUGAAAUGUAUUCGUUUCUCAAGAAGUGUUCUAGGAUGGACUCUAAAGUUUUUCGAUAAGUCUUAAGACGAAAAAUUUUUUUGACGGCAGGAAAAUAAUAAUAACUAGUGAUCCUAAUUGUUCGCGAACAAUUAGAGGGCUUCCCACCUUCUAGCGGUUUUUCAGUAGUGUUGAAAUGCUAAAAGCCCCCCCCCCCUACCCCAUCCCACCCUCACCCCAAAAAAAAAAAAAAAAAAAAAAAAAAAAAAAAAAAUUGAUUUGGCUAGAAAAGAAAUUCAAAUUUGUCGCCUAAAUUUGAGUGUUGAGGUGUGUUCAAUGCUUGGUUUCGCAUUAAGUACCCGUCAAAUUUGAGGGAGAAAAGGGGUGUGGGUGUUGGGUAGCCAGCACAUAUGCACAUAUCAGGUAAAAGUGUAAUGGGACUUGUGCAGGUGUUUGGGGUGACUUUAGACCUGUUAGAUGUGAUAUUUGGAGGUGCAAAGAAACCAGAUGUGCCAUUUUCCUAGAUUGUAGUAACUGCUGGUGCAUGCUGGGAGUCUAUACAAGCCUCAUGUUGUCAGAUGUUGUGAAGAUGCACUGGAUUUGACCGUGUGUGUUGUGGAUUGUGGAAUUGAAUAUACAGUUUGUAAUGGCUCAUCCUAUGUGUUCUAAUUCACGGAGACAAUGUCUUUCAGUCAUUUCACCCAAGGAGGCAUGCAUAUACGGAUUGAUAGGCUUUGACAACAAACAACCAAAAUGGCGGCCGGUGAAUUAGAAAGUGUCUGAGUGCAUGUAGGAUAUCUGAACGGAGAAUAGGAGUACUGCAUCCCAUCUGAUCCUGCAGGUAAGUGUUUAUUUGUUUACAAUGACAGUCGGGAUGGAAUGUCAAUGAGUUCAACUGUCAAGUAAAGUUGCAUCAUCAUUAUAAAAAAAAAAACUUAGUCUUUAUGUUGAUGCAGGCAGACAAUUGAAUCUGGCCUAUGUCUUUUCAUGAAUGUAAAUGGAAUUCAUGUUUGAUUGACAAGACAGUCAAGAAAUGGAAGAAGUGGGUGUAGGUCAGAUGUGUAGGUGUAGGUCAGAUUAGCUAGAAUCCUGUAAUUGUUGCAUGGCAUGAGACCGGUCAAAAUAGUGUAUUGAAACAGCUGAUCACAAUCAGAUCACUUGAAGGGUGGGGGAUUUCUUCCUUGGGGACGACAGGCGUGAUGGGUGGGUUGGCCUUACUCGUGGAGACUGGCCCCUGGAUGCGUGACCUUGACCUUUGACCUUGACCCACUUUCAAGGUCAAACCUCAAAAAUCCUGUUGUUGGGCAUGAAACCGGUCAAAAUAGUGUAUUAUAAACAGCUGAUGACAGACAGAUCACUUGAAGGGUGGGGGGUUUCUUCCUUGGGGACGACAGGCGUGAUGGGUGGGUUGGCCUUACUCGUGGAGACUGGCCCCUGGAUGCGUGACCUUGACCUUUGACCUUGACCCACUUUCAAGGUCAAACCUCAAAAACCCAUGGGGGAGAAAGUGUGACCUUGACCUUUGACCUUGACCUCAUUUUGAAGGUCAGAGAGGUCACGGGGCUUCGUUUAAGUGGUCCCGUAUCCCUAUCUACAUCCGUGAAGAAGUUGUGGGCUCGAACGACGACGUCGGAGACUUUCGGGGGCGAGAACCGUGCUUCGGGGUUCUCGGUUUCCCUCGGUCAACUUUUCUGUGCGAGAGCGUUUCAUCUGGAAUUCGUCGGCGAAGGUCUCGCCUCUCCAUGACUUGCGGUCUAGUGAGAGUAGCGAUAACGGGGUUUUCGACGUUAAGUCGCCGCCAUUCGCAGAGUGGUCAAAGUUCAGAGUUGACAUUCGUGAUGCCGAGACCGGUCCAAAAUUCCUUGCUGACCCAUGUGAUAUUUCGAUGCUAUCUGAAGCGUGAAAGAGCGUAUAAAAAGUGCCAUUUUCUGGCCAUUCUGGAUGACCUUGACCUCUGACCUUGACCUACUUUUUCAAGGUCAAGGUCACCCAACCCGUCCCAGUGGGUUCCGUCUCUCUACGACGAAGACUUUAGGAGUCGUCAAUUUGUAGGGGACAAAUCGCAAAACAUGAGGGGGCAUUAACUCCCUUUAGGGGACACCGAAUCCCUUCAUUUGAAAUUCUUCGCUUCUACUAAUUACCCUCUAUGUUUUAGAAAAGGUUUCAUCCUCCUAUCAUUUACGGUUACAAAGUAGAAGUGCUAACAAUGAUUUCUGCGAAAGGUCAAAUAACUCCGUAAGGGGUCAAAGUUCAAUUACGCAGGGUGAACUGUAUUCGUUUCUCAAGAAGUACUAUAUGAUGGACUAUAAAGUUUUUCGAUAAGUCUUAAGACGAAGAUUUUUUUUGACGGCAGGAAAAUAAUAAUAAUAAUAAUAAUAAUAAUAAUAAUAAUAAACAGAACAAUAACAAUAGGACUUUCCACUGAAAGGUGGAAAGCCCUAAUAAUUGAGACGAAAGUGCCACGUAUUGAAUACAUUUGGCAUUCCUAGGUCAGAAUGGGAACUUGAGUCAUGUAAGUGACAUUUUCACGUUAAAAAAUGCGCGUUUGCCUAAAUUUGGAUUUCUCGUAUUCUGUUGAUUUCUACAUUUCAAGAUUGGCAACUGACCAGGUGUAAAGGUGCACAUUUUCCGUUCUCGGAUGGAAAAAGGGGUGGGUUCGAUUCCCCCGGUCAGUUCACAAGGAAAUGUUGAGUCGCCGUGCGUAAAAAAAAUCAAUUUUCGCAUUCGUCAAGGCGUAAAAGAAUGGCAGGUGGUGAGUGUUUAAAACACUAGUGAUCCUAAUUGUUCGCGAACAAUUAGAGGGCUUCCCACCUUCUAGCGGUUUUUCAGUAGUGUUGAAAUGCUAAAAGCCCCCCCCCCCCUACCCCAUCCCACCCUCACCCAAAAAAAAAAAAAAAAAAAAAAAAAAAAAUGGAUUUGGCUAGAAAAGAAAUUCAAAUUUGCCGCCUAAAUUUGAGUGUUGAGGUGUGUUCAAUGCUUGGUUUCGCAUUAAGUACCCGUCAAAUUUGAGGGAGAAAAGGGGUGUGGGUGUUGGGUAGCCAGCACAUAUGCACAUAUCAGGUAAAAGUGUAAUGGGACUUGUGCAGGUGUUUGGGGUGACUUUAGACCUGUUAGAUGUGAUAUUUGGAGGUGCAAAGAAACCGGAUGUGCCAUUUUCCUAGAUUGUAGUAACUGCUGGUGCAUGCUGGGAGUCUAUACAAGCCUGAUGUUGUCAGAUGUUGUGAAGAUGCACUGGAUUUGACCGUGUGUGUUGUGGAUUGUGGAAUUGAAUAUACAGUUUGUAAUGGCUCAUCCUAUGUGUUCUAAUUCACGGAGACAAUGUCUUUCAGUCAUUUCACCCAAGGAGGCAUGCAUAUACGGAUUGAUAGGCUUUGACAACAAACAACCAAAAUGGCGGCCGGUGAAUUAGAAAGUGUCUGAGUGCAUGUAGGAUAUCUGAACGGAGAAUAGGAGUACUGCAUCCCAUCUGAUCCUGCAGGUAAGUGUUUAUUUGUUUACAAUGACAGUCAGGAUGGAAUGUCAAUGAGUUCAACUGUCAAGUAAAGUUGCAUCAUCAUUAUAAAAAAAAAAAACAACUUAGUCUUUAUGUUGAUGCAGGCAGACAAUUGAAUCUGGCCUAUGUCUUUUCAUGAAUGUAAAUGGAAUUCAUGUUUGAUUGACAAGACAGUCAAGAAAUGGAAGAAGUGGGUGUAGGUCAGAUGUGUAGGUGUAGGUCAGAUUAGCUAGAAUCCUGUAAUUGUUGCAUGGCAUGAGACCGGUCAAAAUAGUGUAUUGAAACAGCUGAUCACAAUCAGAUCACUUGAAGGGUGGGGGAUUUCUUCCUUGGGGACGACAGGCGUGAUGGGUGGGUUGGCCUUACUCGUGGAGACUGGCCCCUGGAUGCGUGACCUUGACCUUUGACCUUGACCCACGUUCAAGGUCAAACCUCAAAAAUCCUGUUGUUGGGCAUGAAACCGGUCAAAAUAGUGUAUUAUAAACAGCUGAUGACAGACAGAUCACUUGAAGGGUGGGGGGUUUCUUCCUUGGGGACGACAGGCGUGAUGGGUGGGUUGGCCUUACUCGUGGAGACUGGCCCCUGGAUGCGUGACCUUGACCUUUGACCUUGACCCACUUUCAAGGUCAAACCUCAAAAACACAUGGGGGAGAAAGUGUGACCUUGACCUUUGACCUUGACCUCAUUUUGAAGGUCAGAGAGGUCACGGGGCUUCGUUUAAGUGGUCCCGCAUCCCUAUCUACAUCCGUGAAGAAGUUGUGGGCUCGAACGACGACGUCGGAGACUUUCGGGGGCGAGAACCGUGCUUCGGGGUUCUCGGUUUCCCUCGGUCAACUUUUCUGUGCGAGAGCGUUUCAUCUGGAAUUCGUCGGCGAAGGUCUCGCCUCUCCAUGACUUGCGGUCUAGUGAGAGUAGCGAUAACGGGGUUUUCGACGUUAAGUCGCCGCCAUUCGCAGAGUGGUCAAAGUUCAGAGUUGACAUUCGUGAUGCCGAGACUGGUCCAAAAUUCCUUGCUGACCCAUGUGAUAUUUCGAUGCUAUCUGAAGCGUGAAAGAGCGUAUAAAAAGUGCCAUUUUCUGGCCAUUCUGGAUGACCUUGACCUCUGACCUUGACCUACUUUUUCAAGGUCAAGGUCACCCAACCCGUCCCAGUGGGUUCCGUCUCUCUACGACGAAGACUUUAGGAGUCGUCAAUUUGUAGGGGACAAAUCGCAAAACAUGAGGGGGCAUUAACUCCCUUUAGGGGACACCGAAUCCCUUCAUUUGAAAUUCUUCGCUUCUACUAAUUACCCUCUAUGUUUUAGAAAAGGUUUCAUCCUCCUAUCAUUUACGGUUACAAAGUAGAAGUGCUAACAAUGAUUUCUGCGAAAGGUCAAAUAACUCCGUAAGGGGUCAAAGUUCAAUUACGCAGGGUGAACUGUAUUCGUUUCUCAAGAAGUACUAUAUGAUGGACUAUAAAGUUUUUCGAUAAGUCUUAAGACGAAGAUUUUUUUUGACGGCAGGAAAAUAAUAAUAAUAAUAAUAAUAACUAGUGAUCCUAAUUGUUCGCGAACAAUUAGAGGGCUUCCCACCUUCUAGCGGUUUUUCAGUAGUGUUGAAAUGCUAAAAGCCCCCCCACCCCCUACCCCAUCCCACCCUCACCCAAAAAAAAAAAAAAAAAAAAAAAAAAAAAAAAAAAAAUUGAUUUGGCUAGAAAAGAAAUUCAAAUUUGUCGCCUAAAUUUGAGUGUUGAGGUGUGUUCAAUGCUUGGUUUCGCAUUAAGUACCCGUCAAAUUUGAGGGAGAAAAGGGGUGUGGGUGUUGGGUAGCCAGCACAUAUGCACAUAUCAGGUAAAAGUGUAAUGGGACUUGUGCAGGUGUUUGGGGUGACUUUAGACCUGUUAGAUGUGAUAUUUGGAGGUGCAAAGAAACCGGAUGUGCCAUUUUCCUAGAUUGUAGUAACUGCUGGUGCAUGCUGGGAGUCUAUACAAGCCUCAUGUUGUCAGAUGUUGUGAAGAUGCACUGGAUUUGACCGUGUGUGUUGUGGAUUGUGGAAUUGAAUAUACAGUUUGUAAUGGCUCAUCCUAUGUGUUCUAAUUCACGGAGACAAUGUCUUUCAGUCAUUUCACCCAAGGAGGCAUGCAUAUACGGAUUGAUAGGCUUUGACAACAAACAACCAAAAUGGCGGCCGGUGAAUUAGAAAGUGUCUGAGUGCAUGUAGGAUAUCUGAACGGAGAAUAGGAGUACUGCAUCCCAUCUGAUCCUGCAGGUAAGUGUUUAUUUGUUUACAAUGACAGUCGGGAUGGAAUGUCAAUGAGUUCAACUGUCGAGUAAAGUUGCAUCAUCAUUAUAAAAAAAAAAAAACUUAGUCUUUAUGUUGAUGCAGGCAGACAAUUGAAUCUGGCCUAUGUCUUUUCAUGAAUGUAAAUGGAAUUCAUGUUUGAUUGACAAGACAGUCAAGAAAUGGAAGAAGUGGGUGUAGGUCAGAUGUGUAGGUGUAGGUCAGAUUAGCUAGAAUCCUGUAAUUGUUGCAUGGCAUGAGACCGGUCAAAAUAGUGUAUUGAAACAGCUGAUCACAAUCAGAUCACUUGAAGGGUGGGGGAUUUCUUCCUUGGGGACGACAGGCGUGAUGGGUGGGUUGGCCUUACUCGUGGAGACUGGCCCCUGGAUGCGUGACCUUGACCUUUGACCUUGACCCACUUUCAAGGUCAAACCUCAAAAAUCCUGUUGUUGGGCAUGAAACCGGUCAAAAUAGUGUAUUAUAAACAGCUGAUGACAGACAGAUCACUUGAAGGGUGGGGGGUUUCUUCCUUGGGGACGACAGGCGUGAUGGGUGGGUUGGCCUUACUCGUGGAGACUGGCCCCUGGAUGCGUGACCUUGACCUUUGACCUUGACCCACUUUCAAGGUCAAACCUCAAAAACACAUGGGGGAGAAAGUGUGACCUUGACCUUUGACCUUGACCUCAUUUUGAAGGUCAGAGAGGUCACGGGGCUUCGUUUAAGUGGUCCCGCGUCCCUAUCUACAUCCGUGAAGGAGUUGUGGGCUUGAACGACGACGUCGGAGACUUUCGGGGGCGAGAACCGUGCUUCGGGGUUCUCGGUUUCCCUCGGUCAACUUUUCUGUGCGAGAGCGUUUCAUCUGGAAUUCGUCGGCGAAGGUCUCGCCUCUCCAUGACUUGCGGUCUAGUGAGAGUAGCGAUAACGGGGUUUUCGACGUUAAGUCGCCGCCAUUCGCAGAGUGGUCAAAGUUCAGAGUUGACAUUCGUGAUGCCGAGACUGGUCCAAAAUUCCUUGCUGACCCAUGUGAUAUUUCGAUGCUAUCUGAAGCGUGAAAGAGCGUAUAAAAAGUGCCAUUUUCUGGCCAUUCUGGAUGACCUUGACCUCUGACCUUGACCUACUUUUUCAAGGUCAAGGUCACCCAACCCGUCCCAGUGGGUUCCGUCUCUCUACGACGAAGACUUUAGGAGUCGUCAAUUUGUAGGGGACAAAUCGCAAAACAUGAGGGGGCAUUAACUCCCUUUAGGGGACACCGAAUCCCUUCAUUUGAAAUUCUUCGCUUCUACUAAUUACCCUCUAUGUUUUAGAAAAGGUUUCAUCCUCCUAUCAUUUACGGUUACAAAGUAGAAGUGCUAACAAUGAUUUCUGCGAAAGGUCAAAUAACUCCGUAAGGGGUCAAAGUUCAAUUACGCAGGGUGAACUGUAUUCGUUUCUCAAGAAGUACUAUAUGAUGGACUAUAAAGUUUUUCGAUAAGUCUUAAGACGAAGAUUUUUUUUGACGGCAGGAAAAUAAUAAUAAUAAUAAUAAUAACUAGUGAUCCUAAUUGUUCGCGAACAAUUAGAGGGCUUCCCACCUUCUAGCGGUUUUUCAGUAGUGUUGAAAUGCUAAAAGCCCCCCCACCCCCUACCCCAUCCCACCCUCACCCAAAAAAAAAAAAAAAAAAAAAAAAAAAAAAAAAAAAAUUGAUUUGGCUAGAAAAGAAAUUCAAAUUUGUCGCCUAAAUUUGAGUGUUGAGGUGUGUUCAAUGCUUGGUUUCGCAUUAAGUACCCGUCAAAUUUGAGGGAGAAAAGGGGUGUGGGUGUUGGGUAGCCAGCACAUAUGCACAUAUCAGGUAAAAGUGUAAUGGGACUUGUGCAGGUGUUUGGGGUGACUUUAGACCUGUUAGAUGUGAUAUUUGGAGGUGCAAAGAAACCGGAUGUGCCAUUUUCCUAGAUUGUAGUAACUGCUGGUGCAUGCUGGGAGUCUAUACAAGCCUCAUGUUGUCAGAUGUUGUGAAGAUGCACUGGAUUUGACCGUGUGUGUUGUGGAUUGUGGAAUUGAAUAUACAGUUUGUAAUGGCUCAUCCUAUGUGUUCUAAUUCACGGAGACAAUGUCUUUCAGUCAUUUCACCCAAGGAGGCAUGCAUAUACGGAUUGAUAGGCUUUGACAACAAACAACCAAAAUGGCGGCCGGUGAAUUAGAAAGUGUCUGAGUGCAUGUAGGAUAUCUGAACGGAGAAUAGGAGUACUGCAUCCCAUCUGAUCCUGCAGGUAAGUGUUUAUUUGUUUACAAUGACAGUCGGGAUGGAAUGUCAAUGAGUUCAACUGUCGAGUAAAGUUGCAUCAUCAUUAUAAAAAAAAAAAAACUUAGUCUUUAUGUUGAUGCAGGCAGACAAUUGAAUCUGGCCUAUGUCUUUUCAUGAAUGUAAAUGGAAUUCAUGUUUGAUUGACAAGACAGUCAAGAAAUGGAAGAAGUGGGUGUAGGUCAGAUGUGUAGGUGUAGGUCAGAUUAGCUAGAAUCCUGUAAUUGUUGCAUGGCAUGAGACCGGUCAAAAUAGUGUAUUGAAACAGCUGAUCACAAUCAGAUCACUUGAAGGGUGGGGGAUUUCUUCCUUGGGGACGACAGGCGUGAUGGGUGGGUUGGCCUUACUCGUGGAGACUGGCCCCUGGAUGCGUGACCUUGACCUUUGACCUUGACCCACUUUCAAGGUCAAACCUCAAAAAUCCUGUUGUUGGGCAUGAAACCGGUCAAAAUAGUGUAUUAUAAACAGCUGAUGACAGACAGAUCACUUGAAGGGUGGGGGGUUUCUUCCUUGGGGACGACAGGCGUGAUGGGUGGGUUGGCCUUACUCGUGGAGACUGGCCCCUGGAUGCGUGACCUUGACCUUUGACCUUGACCCACUUUCAAGGUCAAACCUCAAAAACACAUGGGGGAGAAAGUGUGACCUUGACCUUUGACCUUGACCUCAUUUUGAAGGUCAGAGAGGUCACGGGGCUUCGUUUAAGUGGUCCCGCGUCCCUAUCUACAUCCGUGAAGGAGUUGUGGGCUUGAACGACGACGUCGGAGACUUUCGGGGGCGAGAACCGUGCUUCGGGGUUCUCGGUUUCCCUCGGUCAACUUUUCUGUGCGAGAGCGUUUCAUCUGGAAUUCGUCGGCGAAGGUCUCGCCUCUCCAUGACUUGCGGUCUAGUGAGAGUAGCGAUAACGGGGUUUUCGACGUUAAGUCGCCGCCAUUCGCAGAGUGGUCAAAGUUCAGAGUUGACAUUCGUGAUGCCGAGACUGGUCCAAAAUUCCUUGCUGACCCAUGUGAUAUUUCGAUGCUAUCUGAAGCGUGAAAGAGCGUAUAAAAAGUGCCAUUUUCUGGCCAUUCUGGAUGACCUUGACCUUUGACCUUGACCUACUUUUUCAAGGUCAAGGUCACCCAACCCGUCCCAGUGGGUUCCGUCUCUCUACGACGAAGACUUUAGGAGUCGUCAAUUUGUAGGGGACAAAUCGCAAAACAUGAGGGGGCAUUAACUCCCUUUAGGGGACACCGAAUCCCUUCAUUUGAAAUUCUUCGCUUCUACUAAUUACCCUCUAUGUUGUAGAAAAGGUUUCAUCCUCCUAUCAUUUACGGUUACAAAGUAGAAGUGCUAACAAUGAUUUCUGCGAAAGGUCCAAUAACUCCGUAAGGGGUCAAAGUUCAAUUACGCAGGGUGAACUGUAUUCGUUUCUCAAGAAGUACUAUAUGAUGGACUAUAAAGUUUUUCGAUAAGUCUUAAGACGAAGAUUUUUUUUGACGGCAGGAAAAUAAUAAUAAUAA